GCCGGGUUAGCUCAGUUGGUAGAGCAGCGCACUUGUAAUGCGAAGGUCAUCAGUUCGAUUCCGAUACCCGGCACCA
rnacentral:tRNA from 19 species